AGAUGUACUUGAGGCUGUUCUGACCUAGGAAUUCCUCAGUUAAGGGUGUUGUCUGGCUGGAGAGAUGGCUCAGCAGUCUGCUCUUCCAGAGGUCCUUAGUUCUAAACCCAGCAACUAUCUGUAAUGAGAUCUGAUGUCCUCUUUUGGUGUGUCUGAAGACAGCUACAGUGUAUUUAUGUAUAAUAAAUAAAUCUUAAAAAAAAAAGGCUGUCUUCUCACUGAUUCUAAGCUGUGUCCAGUUGACAGUUUAAAAGUAACCAGAAUACAUAGCUUCUUUCAUCAACCCCAAUGUCUCACUUUGUAACCCAGGCUGUCCUCAUGCUUGCAAUUCUCCUGCCUCAGGUUCUCUCCUAAAUGUUGGGAUUUCGUAAGUUCUUGGGGCUCAGUGCUAAGAUCUUUUACAAGAUACCCAAGUGAUUAUGAAGUGCUUAAAAACUAUUGUGCUACCUUACCUUAGUUAGUUAAUUUUAGAUUUUUUUAAUGUAUUUGAAUAGUUUCCCUAUAAAUUAAGUAAGCCUUAUUUUAUUUAACAGUCUUCUCAAAGUGCAAGAGGUUUGAAAAGAUGUACAGGACAUUAUAUACUGAAGAAUGGGCUGAGGACUUAGCUCAGUUGGUAGAAUACUUGCCUAGCAGGUCCUGGUUUCCAUCCCUAACACCACAUAAAAGAACUCAGGAGGAUGAAAAGUUCAAAUUUGCUUUGGCUACAUAGCAAAUUUGAGGCCAGCCUGGGAUACUUGAGACCUUGUUGCAAAACAAAAACAAAGGCUGGCUGUGGUAUACACACCUUUACCCUUUAAUCCACAACACUUAAAAGGAGAGUCAAGAAGAUAUGAGUUCAAGACCAGCCUGAUUUACAUAGUGAGUUCCAGGCUGGCCAAGACUGUAAAAGCUGCCUCUCCUCUGUGGCCAUGCUGCAGAACAUAUAGGAAAAGCAGUGUUUGUAGCAGUUGGUGCUGUUAUAGUUAGGAGUCCUCUGCUGUGAGUCUUGGAUGUUUUCCUGUAAGGGAAAACUGUUGUACUUAAUUUCCUUGAUUCUUCAAGCUUGUGGUAAUAGGGUCUGGUUGUCAGCAUAGCACUUGUUAAGGCUGAGGCAGGAGAAGCAAGAGCUUGAACUGAGCGAGUGCUUCGGAGUAAGUCCAUACCAGCUUGGCCUUCACAGUGAAAGCC
rnacentral:lncRNA from 1 species